rnacentral:snRNA from 2 species
AGCUUUGUGCAGAGGCAAUAUCGUAGCCAAUGAGGUUUAUCCAAGGCGUGAUUAUUGCUAAUUGAAAAAUAUUCAUCAUAGUAACACUUUGACUAGUACAUUAAUUUUAUUUAAAA